AACCGCUGGGACGGCAAACAAGCCUGAGGGCGAAGCGUGCAGGCCAACGGGGAGAAAUCAAACGUUAUUUGAGUUUUUAAAUACAUUUUAUAAUAUUAUAACACAUUGAACGUUAUUGCAGUAAUCUUGAGGUCGUUUCUGCUCGUCAGAAUAAUCUCGACCUUUGAAUUCACCAGGUUCACAUGGAUACAAGCCAGUAAAAAUCUUGUAACCUGAUGAUCAGUGAGAGAGAGAUUUGCCUGAGGUACCGCACACACACACAUCUGUACCGUCUCUCUCUCUCUCUACAGCGGUUCUGUUCAUCGGACGGUCACGUGGUCAUGACUCACAUUGGCCUCUGGUGUCAGAGCAAGGGUCAGGGCACACAGACAAUCCCCUCAGAGUCGCUUCUGUUCGUGUGUCAGCAGAAAAACACAAGAUGUUUGCUGGAGAGAGAGUCGCUGUUGACAGUCCGCAGAAAGAAACGGAGCCAAAGAAAGAGUUGAGAUGUGAAGAGUCAAUUGUGUCAGAAAUACUCCACAAACAGAGCUGGUAAUGAUGAGUAAGAAAUUAUAAUCAUCUCGUGAGAUAACAGUCAUUGUGUCUUUCUAUAGAACCACCUGAACUGUCUGUUGUCUAUGUAGGGAGCCUUCUGAGGCCUCAUCUUAAUGAAAAUGUAAUCUCAUAAGUGACUAAUUCAGAACGAUCGAUACUCGAAGAAACAACAUAUUUUGCAGCAUCGCAGAAAACAGGGAACGUUCUUUAAACGCUAUUAAAAUGUUCCUGCAGUAACGCAGUUAAUUGAGCAUUUUAUCACCAUUACAUUUUAUUGCUAAACGUUCCAAAAAACAUAUAAAAUGUUUUACUUUUGGGAAACAUUCAGGAAUUACGUUUUCACUAUGUUUUUUCAGUGUUGGGUGUAACUAGUUACUAAGUAAUUAGUUACUGUAAUUUAAUUACUUUUCCCUUGGAAAAAGUAAAGUAAGGGAUUACUCUUAUUUUUUCUAUAAUUUAAUUACAGUUACUUCUGAUGUAAUUAAACUAAAUACUUUGUGUAAUAUGUGUGCAGAAGAGGAAUUGAUAUCAAAAUUCAAAGUCCAACUUUAAAAUCCGUGCUUUGAUGUAUAAUUCUCACAUUUGUAAUUAAUAAUAAUACUUUAUGUAGUUUAAUAUUAUUUAUUUAAAUGAAUUAAAAGAGCCAUUUCAUGUCUAUCCUUGAAUCACUUAACUCAUCAAGGUUGAUGUAAGAUAUAUAAUAUAUAUAUAUAAUAAUAUAUAAUUCAAUUAUUUGUCAAGUAUGGUGACCCAUACCCGAAAUGUGACUCUGCAUUUAACCCAUCCAGAGAGUAGUGAACACACGCACAGCAAGUGGUGAACAAACGUACACCCGGAGCAGUGGGCAGCUAUCACUGCAGCGCCCGGGGAGCAAGUAGGGGUAAGGUGCCUUGCUCAAGGGCACCUCAGUCGUUACCCGCCGGCCCUGGGAAUCGAACCGGCAACCUUCUGGUCACGAAUCUGACUCUCUAUAGAAAGUAAUUAGUAAUUAAUUACUUUUUCAGAGUAACUUACCCAACACUGGUUUUUUUUAGUUAGGAUACCAGUAUUGGGUAAAAAAUACAUUUAAAUGAUUUCCUCCAUUCAUAUUUGUUUCUAGAGCGCUUUCGCAAAUUUGCAAAAGAAAAUAUUUAGCAGUGUAGAAGUAAGGAAAAGAAAAAGAAAUGAUAUGAAACUAAUCAAAUGCAUACUAUUCUUGUCUGUGAAUAUAUCAGGCAGUCUGAUGUCUGAUGGAUUGUUUUGUGAAAUAAUUCAUUCAUUUCUGUGUGUAUUUACAAGAUUUUUAAUGAAUGUUUUUGCAUGUGUAAGAUUGUUGAUCUCUUGCUCUAACAUUAAAUGACUCUCAAA